rnacentral:rRNA from 1 species
AAGCUUCGGGGAGGAGCAAAUAUCCUUUGAUCCGGAGAUUUCUGAAUGGGGAAACCUACUUGAGCAAACCUCAAGUAUCCUUAAGCCAAUACAUAACUUAAGGAAGGGAACCCGGUGAACUGAAACAUCUAAGUAGCCGGAGGAAGAGAAAACAACAUGUGAUUCUGUGAGUAGCGGCGAGCGAAAACGGAAGAGCCCAAACCAGCGUGCGUGCAUGCUGGGGUUCGGACCGCGGAAUUGAUUCAACGAGUUUAGCAGAACGGUUUUGGGAAAGCCGGCCAGAGAGGGUGAAAGCCCCGUAAGCGAAAGAUGAGUUGACAUGGCGGUAUCCAGAGUAGGUCGAGACACGUGGAACCUUGACUGAAGAUGCGGGGACCACCCCGUAAGGCUAAAUACUCCUUAGUGACCGAUAGCGCAUAGUACUGUGAAGGAAAGGUGAAAAGGACCCCGGGAGGGGAGUGAAAAAGAACCUGAAACCAUAUGUUUACAAGCUGUGGAAGAGCUUUAUAUGCUCAACCGCGUACUUUUUGUAGAACGGUCCGGCGAGUUACGCUGGCUGGCGAGGUUAAGGACUGAAGGUCCGGAGCCGAAGGGAAACCAAGUCUGAAUAGGGCGCAUAGUCAGUCGGAGUAGACCCGAAACCGGGUGAUCUAUCCAUGUCCAGGUUGAAGUUGCCGUAAAAGGCAAUGGAGGACCGAACCCACAUCCGUUGAAAAGGGUGGGGAUGAGGUGUGGAUAGGGGAGAAAUUCCAAUCGAACCCGGAGAUAGCUGGUUCUCCUCGAAAUAGCUUUAGGGCUAGCCUCAUACGAGUCUUGCGGAGGUAGAGCACUGAAUUCCUAAGGGGGCGUCAAAGCUUACUAAGGGAUAUCAAACUCCGAAUGCCGUGUAGAUGAUGUAUGGGAGUCAGACGAUCCGAGAUAAGUUGGGUGGUCAAAAGGGAAAGAGCCCAGACCAACAGCUAAGGCCCCAAAAUGUGUGUUAAGUGGAAAAGGAUGUGGGAUUUCGAAGACAACUAGGAUGUUGGCUCAGAAGCAGCCAUACAUUCAAAGAGUGCGUAAUAGCUCACUAGUCGAGAGGUCCUGCGCCGAAAAUGUCCGGGGCUAAAACACACUGCCGAAGCUUUGGAAUUGAAUUAAUUCAAUUGGUAGAGGAGCAUUCUUAAAGGGACGAAGCAGUACCGUAAGGAGCUGUGGACUUUUAAGAAGAGAGAAUGCCGGAAUGAGUAGCGAGAGGAAGGUGGGAAUCCUUCCGGCCGAAUAUCUAAGGUUUCCAGAGUAAAGCUGAUCUGCUCUGGGUAAGUCGGGGCCUAAGGCGAGGUCGAAAGACGUAGUCGAUGGAUAACAGGUUGAAAUUCCUGUACUAUCCUGUAACAGAACUGUGGGGACACAGGCAGAGAGCGUGAGCCGGGAAUGGAAAGACCGGUACAAGCGAGGUAGGAGUUCAGUUGGCAAAUCCGCUGAACAAUCUGAAGACGUGAUGUGGACUGAAAAUAAGUAGGGAAGCACGUGAGCUGACUGUCAAGAAAAGCCGCUAUUGUUUGCAGGAUACCCGUACCGUAAACCGACACAGGUGGAUGAGGAGAGAAUCCUAAGGCCGACGGGAGAAGCAUUGUUAAGGAACUCGGCAAAAUGACUCCGUAACUUCGGGAGAAGGAGUGCCAGUAAGAUGGCCGCAGAGAAUUGGCCCAAGCAACUGUUUAGCAAAAACACAGGUCUAUGCAAAACCGAAAGGUGAGGUAUAUGGGCUGACGCCUGCCCGGUGCUGGAAGGUUAAGGGGAGAGGUUAGCGCAAGCGAAGCUUUGAACUUAAGCCCCAGUAAACGGCGGCCGUAACUAUAACGGUCCUAAGGUAGCGAAAUUCCUUGUCGGGUAAGUUCCGACCCGCACGAAAGGCGUAAUGAUUUGGGCACUGUCUCAACAAUGCACCCGGUGAAAUUGAAAUACCAGUGAAGAUGCUGGUUACCUGCGCCAGGACGGAAAGACCCCAUGGAGCUUUACUCCAGCUUGAUACUGGGAUUCGGUAUUGCAUGUACAGGAUAGGUGGGAGGCUAGGAAAUGGUAACGCCAGUUGCCAUGGAGCCGCUGUUGGGAUACCACCCUUGCAGUACUGGGUUUCUAACCAGCAGCCGUGAUCCGGCUGGGGGACAAUGUCAGGUGGGGAGUUUGACUGGGGCGGUCGCCUCCGAAAGGGUAUCGGAGGCGCUCAAAGGU